rnacentral:rRNA from 1 species
GAUGAACGCUGGCGGCGUGCCUAAUACAUGCCAGUCGAGCGAACAGACGAGGAGCUUGCUCCUCUGACGUUAGCGGCGGACGGGUGAGUAACACGUGGAUAACCUACCUAUAAGACUGGGAUAACUUCGGGAAACCGGAGCUAAUACCGGAUAAUAUAUUGAACCGCAUGGUUCAAUAGUGAAAGACGGUUUUGCUGUCACUUAUAGAUGGAUCCGCGCCGCAUUAGCUAGUUGGUAAGGUAACGGCUUACCAAGGCAACGAUGCGUAGCCGACCUGAGAGGGUGAUCGGCCACACUGGAACUGAGACACGGUCCAGACUCCUACGGGAGGCAGCAGUAGGGAAUCUUCCGCAAUGAGCGAAAGCCUGACGGAGCAACGCCGCGUGAGUGAUGAAGGUCUUCGGAUCGUAAAACUCUGUUAUUAGGGAAGAACAAAUGUGUAAGUAACUAUGCACGUCUUGACGGUACCUAAUCAGAAAGCCACGGCUAACUACGUG